AGUGAACGCUGGCGGCGUGCUUAACACAUGCAAGUCGAACGAGAACGGAAUAUAGCUUGCUAUAUUUGUCAGCUAAGUGGCGCACGGGUGAGUAAUGUAUAGAUAACCUGCCCUUAAGAAAGGAAUAACAGUUGGAAACGACUGCUAGUGCCCUAUAUGCCUUUAAUACAUAAGUAUGCAAGGGAAACGCUUCAGUGCUUAAGGAUGGGUCUGUAUGGUAUCAGCUUGUUGGUGAGGUAAUGGCUCACCAAGGCUAUGACGCCUAACUGGUUUGAGAGGAUGAUCAGUCACACUGGAACUGAGACACGGUCCAGACUCCUACGGGAGGCAGCAGUGGGGAAUAUUGCACAAUGGACGAAAGUCUGAUGCAGCAACGCCGCGUGGAGGAUGACACAUUUCGGUGCGUAAACUCCUUUUAUAUAGGAAGAUAAUGACGGUACUAUAUGAAUAAGCACCGGCUAACUCCGUGCCAGCCGCCGCAGUAAAAC
rnacentral:rRNA from 1 species